GACAGCGUGGUAUCAUGGUUUAAGUGUUGAACUACAACUCCAGAGACCAGGGUUCAAUUCCCAGCUCAGCCA